UGGACCUUAACUCAGGCAAGACUACCUGCUGAACUUAAGCAUAUCAGUAAGCAGAGGAAAAGAAAACAACUGUGAUUCCCUUAGUAACUGCGAGUGAAGCGGGAAAAGCCCAUCGUUUAAUCUCCUCGUCCGCAGUGGCGGGGCGAAAUGUAACGGUAUGGAUAGGUUCUCUACCAACAARGUCUGAUCAAAGUCCUCCGGAUUGAGGUGCCAAAGAGGGUGACAGCCCCGUGUGUGAUUGGACUGAGUUGGGCAUGUGGCCGAUUCCGAGAGUCGGGUUGUUUGGGACUGCAACCUAAAGCAGGUGGUAAACUCCACCCAAGGCUAAAUAUUGACACGAAACCGAUAGCGAACAAGUACUGUGAAGGAAAGUUGAAAAGAACUCUGAAAAGAGAGUUAAAAGUACGUGAAACCGCUAACGGGGAAGCGGAAGGCAGUGUCGAGAUCGAGUGAGUGAGUCUGCUCAAGAGCAAUUUUGAGUGGGCUAGCUUUGCUUGAUGCGUCAGGGCCGUUGGUGUGCGAUGGUUCAAUGGUCGGCAUGGCUUUCACAGCAAAUUUUUGUUUGUGGAUGCGGCUGGCUAUCCGCCUCGUGUGCUGACGUGCGAGUGAGGAGCGUUGGUGAUGUAUUGUCGGUUGGUGCGGUGUGGUGGUUCGCACUGGUCACAGCGUGGCUACGUGCGGACAAGUCAUGUGGUAGUUCAACAACCAAUGCUAGUUCCUGGCGUGAUACCCAACUUUCCGACCCGUCUUGAAACACRGACCAAGGAGGCAGAAUCUAGAGCGAGUUGGAGGGUGGAAAACCCGACGGCGCAGUGAAAGCGAGAGAUGAGACCCAGCGGCCUCGGCUGUUGGGGCAUCAUCGGCCAGUCARUUGUGAUUGAGUUUGAGCUGUAGAUGCUGGACCCGAAAGAUGGUGAACUAUGCGUGAGCAGGGCGAAGCCAGAGGAAACUCUGGUGGAGGCUCGAAGCGAUUCUGACGUGCAAAUCGAUCGUUAGACUUGCGUAUAGGGGCGAUAGACUAAUCGAACCAUCUAGUAGCUGGUUCCCUUCGAAAUAUCCCUCAGGAUCGCUGAGACAAGUGGGAGACAGUUUCAUCGGGUAGAGCGAAUGAUUAGAGGAAUCGGGGAUAUAUUACUCUCGACCUAUUCUCAAACUUCCAACCGGUGAGAGUGCUGUUUGCUUGUGUGAAAUAGUACGUGGAAUGUUUUUGUCUCAAGUGGGCCAUUUUUGGUAAGCAGAACUGGCGAUGCGGGAUGAACCGAGAGUUGAGCUAAGGUGCCUAAGGACACGUUGAUAGAUACCACAAAAGGAGUCGGUCGAUAAAGACAGCAGGGCGGUGGCCCUGAAAGUAGGAAUCCGCUAAGGAAUUGUCUAAAAACUCACCUGCCGAAUCGACCGGCCCUGAAAAUGGAUGGCGCUGAAGCGUGUCACCGAUGCUCGACCUCUACAACGAGAGAUGAUUGUAGGGGGUAGAAGGGCGCGGCGGUGGCGACAAAGUACAAAGUGUAAACUUGUAUGGAGCCGCCGUCGGUGUAGAUCUUGGUGGUAGUAGCAAUUAUAAAAGUGAAAACCUUUUAGGCCGAAGUGGAGAAGGGUUCCACGUGAACAGCAGUUGGACGUGGGUUAGUCGGUCCUAAGCGGUAGCCUAACGGUAAUUCCAAAGCCAACUUGUCAGUUUCGAUUGACCGAGUUGGAAUCCGCGAAAGGGAAUCAGGUUAAUAUUCCUGAACCGGGCUAUGGAGACGCUGCCUUUUGUGUUGUCUGGGGGUUCGCUCUCAGGCAGUGCUGGGGUAGCUUAGCGGUAACGCAAGCAAUCUCGGAGACGUUGACAUCUAUGGCGGGGAGAAUUAUCUUUUCUGCAUAACAGGUAAACCACCUUGGAAUCGAGUCGUUCGGAGAUAAGGUAGAAAGCCUGGAAGAGCACCGCAACUUUUGCAGUGUCCGCAGUGUAGGUGUCGGCCCUUGAAAAUCCGAGGGAGUGGAUAAAUUUCAUGCCCGUCCGUACCGAAUCCGCAUCAGGUCUCCUAGGUGAGCAGCCUCUGGCACUGGAACAAUGUAGGUAAGGGAAGUCGGCAAAAUAGAUCCGUAACUUUGGGAAAAGGAUUGGCUCUAAGGGCCGGGCCAAUCGAGCUAGUAUUACCUAGGCUCGUGGGGGUUUGACUGGGUGGCCCAUCAAAUUUGCCCAAAAAGUUUGUUUGGGGGUUUGCUUGGUCGAGUCAACGCUGGCCAUGGAAUGCCGGCGUGAGUUUCCAGCAAGCCGAGUUGCCGCAAGGUGGCUCGGUCGAUGGGGCUCUUUACGAGUGGCAAGCAUCGGUCGACUUAGAACUGUUACCAACUUGGGGAAUCCGACUGUUUAAUUAAAACAAAGCAUUGCGAUGGCCCUAAUGGGUGUUGACGCAAUGUGAUUUCUGCCCAGUGCUCUGAAUGUCAAAGUGCGGAAACGCAACCAAGCACGGGUAAACGGCGGGAGUAACUAUGACUCUUUAAAGGUAGCCAAAUGCCUCGUCAUCUAAUUAGUGACGCGCAUGAAUGGAUCAACGAGAUUCCCACUGUCCCUACCUACCAUCCAGCGAAACCACAGUCAAGGGAACGGGCUUGACUGAGACAGCGGGGAAAGAAGACCCUGUUGAGCUUGACUCUAGUUUGAUUUUGUGAGAAGACAUGAGGGGUGUAGAAUAGGUGGGAGGUCUCGCAAGGGGCCGUCGGUGAAAUACCACUACCUUCAUCGUUUUCACACUAAGUCGGUUACACGGGAAAUACUUGUCCUCACAAAGGGGGCAGGUGGAUUCGUGGCUAUAAGACAGACCGAUCUGUUGACCCAUCGCCGAUGACAGAAUCAGAUG
rnacentral:rRNA from 1 species